UCCGGCUCAUCUUCCAACAGCUGCACCCUCCGAAACUAACAUUCCCAGGGCAACAAGCAGGCAUUUGGAUGCAGACUCACAGAAAAGCUUGUCUGAGAGACUUACUUUCAUGAAUGAAAUGUUCACCAGCAUGGUCUGCGUUAAUCUUCUUGGUCUUCAGCCUUUCUACCAUGAGAAGAAGAUAAGCCACGUUGCUGCUGGCCCCAGAAAGAUGAGGCCUUAUGGUGCAGUUCUGACCCUGCACCAAAUUAGAGCCUGGACCUUAACCUCACAGGCCCAGCCCAGGAAAGACUCACUGAGAGCAGCUCAAUCGCUGUCACAUGGGUGAUACUGAGUGGAAGGAUAUUUGUGCCUAUCAUGUGACACAGCAGAAAAUCUUCCAGACAAAAGAUUAGAACACUUAAUUAAAUAAAACGCAAAGAACACAAAGAAAGUAUAUGAAAGCGAUUUGGAAGUCAUCUAUCAAAAGGACACAGCUCAAGAUAUCCCAGGGAUGGUGUUUAGAUGGUAUUCCAUAUUAAAUCAUAUUUUUAUC
rnacentral:lncRNA from 1 species